rnacentral:lncRNA from 1 species
UGUUGCCCCAGUGCACAAAAGAGAAGAACGAAAGCAGCACUGACACUGGCGGAGGUUCCCUCUCCAAUGAGGAAGCCUCUUGCACCACAUGCAAUUUCUCUGUGUGGCUGCUUCCUUUCCGUGCUUGCACCUCUUGCAAUCAGACGGGUAAACUGAGAGGCAGCAAGGGGGCCUGAGACCUCAGUUGUGCCCUGGGACUUUAUGAUAAUAUGGACCUGAGAUGGGCCUUUCUCCUGGUUCUUGCAUCUCUGUUGGCUGCAUGGGGACAGAAAGAGCCUGGUCCUGAAGUCCCAGAAGAAGCCAAGAAAACAGCGACAUGCAAAAGGGAUAGCUUGCCUGAGACAGCGAGCUUUUCCACCGACAGGGAGGAGUUCCAAGUGAAUGAGACAGUGUUAGUGACCUGCCCUGGGGACUCCAAAGAUGAGCUAUUCAGUGCCACCUGCACAGAGGUGGAGGACAACAGGGCAGACUGGAACUUCUCCUGCCUCCGAAGAUGCGAAGCCCCCUCCGACUGGGACCCCAAGCUGCAGUUUACCCCUAACAAGACCAGCUAUGCCUUGAAUGAGUUGGUGCAGCUGAGUUGUGCUGGGG